rnacentral:rRNA from 1 species
AAUUUUGGACAAUGGGGGAAACCCUGAUCCAGCCAUCCCGCGCGUAUGAUGAAGGCCUUCGGGUUGUAAAGUACUUUUGGCAGAGAAGAAAAGGCAUCCCCUAAUACGGGAGGCUGCUGACGGUAUCUGCAGAAUAAGCACCGGCUAACUACGUGCCAGCAGCCGCGGUAAUACGUAGGUUGUAAGCGUUAAUCGGAAUUACUGGGCGUAAAGAGUGUGUAGGCGGUUCGGAAAGAAAGAUGUGAGACCACAGGGCUCAACCUUGGAACUGCCUUUUUAACUGCCGGGCUAGAGUAUGUCAGGGGGGGGUAGAAUUCCACGUGUAGCAGUGGAAUGCGUAGAUAUGUGGAGGAGUACCGAUGGCGAAGGCAGCCCCCUGGGAUAAUACUGACGCUCAGACACGAAAGCGUGGGGAGCAAACAGG